GCUUGAGAUCCUUAUUCCUAUCUCAUUCAAUAGCGUCUAGGGUUUCACGCCCUUUUCGUCUCGUCUUCAGUUUGAGAUCUCGUUCUUCUCGCCUUUGGUUACAGAUCUUGUUCUCCUCUUUCUAGUUAAACGUUUUUCUCUAUAAGAUCUGUAUAGAUCCGAUGGAGAUCUACAUCCCGAUGGUGGUUUCGUUCAGAUCUGAGACUUCGUGCGCCAGAUCUACUGUCCAGAGGUUUGACGGCGAAGCGCUGAACAGAUCGUAGAUCCGGUUCUUAAUUAUGAUGUUGCCGAUUUCGUGAUAAUUCUGAUGCUUCAGCCUUUGAUUCUACCUAUAAACAAGAUGCUGUUAUGAAGAAUUGAUCAAGAUUGAUGUCUUCCAGAAACUUCUUGUAUACAUGAUGCAGAUGCAGAUCUUCGAUUUUGUAAUUAUGUAUAUGAUGAUGAUUGGGAGCUAUGCGGGGGGAUUAUAAUGGAUGUAGGAUAUAUCAGGAUUUUAUGCCUCGAUUCGCUGAGCGUUUCGAGGAUUGAGUCCUGGGCGAUCUUGUCAUCCGACCUUUGCCAUGUCAGGUGCGCUUGCUUGGCAGGUCAAAAAAUAAUAAUAAAAAAAGAUUUAUUGGUUUUUGAGAGAGAUCGCACGGGGUUUUGCCCGGGAUCUGCUCUCGUGUGGUGUGUGCCUUGCUUCUUUCCCUUAUGUCUCUUUAUUUUACUUGUCUCGCUCAACAAUCGAUAUCUACAAUACAUAGCAACAAAACAUAGCAACGAUACGUAGCACAACUCUCUGCACGGAACGGAUUCAUUGAAGAUUUGCUCCACUUCCUAACGAGGUAUUGUCUAAUAAAUUUUCAGUAAGAUCUGGAAUCGUUUCAUCCUUUUAAAUAUUUUCAUUUAAUUAAUUACGCAAUUAAAAUCAAUUUGAAAUGGUGAAAUAGUUAAUUUUAAUAAAUCUUUUAAUUUAAUUAUUUUGAAAUUUAUUUAACUAAUUUGAAAAGCUUCAGUUCAAGUAUUUUUAACUUAUAUAUUGUAAAUUUUAUUUGCGAAUGUAUCAUACAACAUUAUUGUUUUAUUCAUAAGCAACUUUCUCCAUGCUCACACCCGUCGUUAUCCGUAAAUUAAAAUAAAUUAAAUUAAGUUUAACCAUUCAAUGUCAUUCCUAAGUGUUUCCGCCGCCUUGUCUAUAAUUGUGUAAAUUUUUUAUAUUUUCAUAUAUUUAGAUUAGAAGUGGAACAUUUAAAAGAAGUAUUUUGUAAUAGUGUAGAGGAGACAUACUUCAUGAGAUCUAUUGUUUUCAUAUAUUUUCUUAAAUGUAAAUAUAAAUUGGAGUCACAGCUUUGGCUGUGUCGUUAUUUGUAAACUAAAAUGAUAAUUAUAGACCUGUUGCCGAAGCGACGAUCUUGUUGGACCAUAUGUUCUCAGGGAGAAAUCUGUAUAUAUUGAUCGAUAUAGUUGUGGAUACUUCGGUGGUCUUGGUCGUUGUAUUCAUUUAGUCCAAGAGCUCGACGACAUCUCAAAGAAACUGCAGUGUGGAUUGAUGCGAUGCUGUGGAUCUAGGAUUGCCUAUUAAUACUCCCAUUCAAAGACUCGCCAUUUAUUAAGGUGAAGAUGACCUCGGCUCUCUCAUUUAUGCUGAUAAACAAUUAUAGGUCAUGUGUAUUAUUCAUUAAUUAAUUAGUAAUUUAUUAAUCAGUAAUUUAGUUAUGCAUUUUUUUCGGCUGUUACAUUAUGGUUAUAUAUUAUUAGUGUUGAUUUUUUUUAAGCUCAAUUUUUUGAUUCAAUGUUGUGAAGCCUCGGAUGACUAGUAAAUAAUUCUAUGGUUUGCUCUAGAACUAGGAGUCGUCUCAGAUUCAUGUGCAGGAUUGAAUUUCAUUUAGUUGAUUAUUUGAUUUCGUCUUUUUCUUAUUCUGGAUCUGGGAUUCAAUGAUAAUUGGUUUAUAUAUUA